rnacentral:rRNA from 1 species
UACGUAGGGUGCGAGCGUUAAUCGGAAUUACUGGGCGUAAAGCGUGCGCAGGCGGUUUUGUAAGACAGAUGUGAAAUCCCCGGGCUUAACCUGGGAAUUGCAUUUGUGACUGUACGGCUAGAGUGUGUCAGAGGGGGGUAGAAUUCCACGUGUAGCAGUGAAAUGCGUAGAGAUGUGGAGGAAUACCGAUGGCGAAGGCAGCCCCCUGGGAUAACACUGACGCUCAUGCACGAAAGCGUGGGGAGCAAACAGG